rnacentral:rRNA from 1 species
AACGAACGCUGGCGGCAGGCUUAACACAUGCAAGUCGAACGCCCCGCAAGGGGAGUGGCAGACGGGUGAGUAACACGUGGGAACAUGCCCAAAGGUACGGAAUAUUCUCGGGAAACUGAGAGCAAUACCGUAUGUGCCCGAAAGGGGAAAGAUUUAUCGCCUUUGGAUUGGCCCGCGUCGGAUUAGCUAGUUGGUGGGGUAAAAGCCUACCAAGGCGACGAUCCGUAGCUGGUCUGAGAGGACGACCAGCCACACUGGGACUGAGACACGGCCCAGACUCCUACGGGAGGCAGCAGUGGGGAAUCUUGGACAAUGGGCGCAAGCCUGAUCCAGCCAUGCCGCGUGGAUGAUGAAGGCCCUAGGGUUGUAAAAUCCCUUCGUUGGGGACGAUAAUGACGGUACCCAAAGAAGAAGCUCCGGCUAACUUCGUG